GAUGAACGCUGGCGGCGUGCCUAACACAUGCAAGUCGAGCGAUCUUCUUUGGAAGAGAGCGGCGGACGGGUGAGUAACGCGUGGGUAACCUGCCCUGUACACACGGAUAACAUACCGAAAGGUAUGCUAAUACGAGAUAAUAUGCUUUUAUCGCAUGGUAGAAGUAUCAAAGCUUUUGCGGUACAGGAUGGACCCGCGUCUGAUUAGCUAGUUGGUAAGGUAACGGCUUACCAAGGCGACGAUCAGUAGCCGACCUGGGAGGGUGAUCGGCCACAUUGGAACUGAGACACGGUCCAAACUCCUACGGGAGGCAGCAGUGGGGAAUACUGCACAAUGGGCGAAAGCCUGAUGCAGCAACGCCGCGUGAGCAAUGAAGGCCUUCGGGUCGUAAAGCUCUGUCCUCAAGGAAGAUAAUGACGGUACUUGAGGAGGAAGCCCCGGCUAACUACGUGCCAGCCGCCGCGGUAAUAC
rnacentral:rRNA from 1 species